rnacentral:lncRNA from 1 species
CCCGAAUGCUCACAUCUCCCCCGGGUGCCGCUGGCACCCCCACUGUACACCCGGAAGGCGCCGCUUCCAGGACUGGGGCUCCUGGGUGCCCUUCCCUCCGGGACCGUCCUGGCAGAGGUGCUGGCCGGCUUCUCACUGCCCACACCUGCGUCUGUCCCCGGCCCCCGGAGCAGGCCAGAGACCGGUAACCUAAGCCUCGCUCCCGCUCCAGCACGCACCGGAGGCCCUUGACAGUGACUCACAGGAAGUGGGUGCAAAUCCUCCAGCUCCUGCUCCUAGCAGGGGGGCAGCCCCAAGGUGCGGCUCACACCGCUCUCCAGGAGUCAGGCUCGUAGGGCACAGAAAACAUCAUAUGAAAAACAAGCAGAAGAGUCAUAAUCCUCAUCCGGAGCUUGCUGUCCAGGUCAAACUCCGGCUUCGCAGACACCAGCCCUUACACCCAGCGCGAGACUGUGAGGUACAGAAACCGAGGUGGGCAAAGCUUAGGCCCUGGGAGCUGAGAGAAGACGCACGCAGCCGCCAGAGCACAGACUGGGUCCCGGAAGCUCGGAGAAGCUCACGGAGGCUGCCGAGGGCCCCCCCGGGAGCAGUGAAGGACCCAGAAAAACCAGUUGUAGUUUGAAGCCAGUGUUGUUUGAAGGUCUGAGAGCUGAAGGGGGUGAUGCUGUGGAUUCCAGUUUGAGUUUGUGAACCUGAGAUCCAGGAGUACCAAGGCCAGGAGAAGAUCCAGAUCAGUUGGUGCCCAACCACUUUGAGCAGAGUCACCUGCUCUUCUCAGUCUAUUGAUUCAAAUAGAAUUCUCCUCUGGAAACACCCUCUCACACACAUAGAUUGAAAAGUGAUGUUUAUUCGGGCAUCUGGGCACCUUGUGGCCUAGUUGAGUUGCCAUAGAAUUGAUCACCACAUUAUGAAUCCUCUUCUAAAAAAAUACACGUGUUCACUCAGUUUUGAAUGUAAUGAUCAGGGACCUCAGAAGCCCUGUGGAGCCCACCCAGAGAAUCUUUCCUCAUCUCCAGGCCAGGGACGUUUCAUGGAGUCCAGGACAAGAACCAAGCCCCGUUUUGUGCCUUCACAGAGCAGGCAUUGCCGCCUGACAGUUCUCUGUUCCAGUCUUCCCUGAGUGAGGAAGAAGACCAAGAUCUACAGGAUAAACCCAGCCACCCUCCAGGCCUCCCAGGCAAAGGCCUCUUCCCAAUACCCAGGGCCAGACAUACUUUUCUCCCCAUGUUGAUUCAUUAUGUCAUCUUGACAGAGCACUUGGCAGGGUCCAAACACUGCGAUGGGUGCUGAGAUACUACUGUGGUUUGGAUCUGGAUUGAGCGUGCUCCCGAAGGGUUCCUGGGUUGACAUUCAGUCCCCAUCCGAGAUGUGAAGGGUCCGGAAACUUAAUCUGACCAUGGAGUUUGGAGGUGGGGUUGGG